GUGACCUUCAUGCUGAGAACAUUAAAAUGAGUCAAACAGAAUGAGAGCAGCAGAGGUUCAGCCACUUGUUUGUUAAUGAGUUUAAGGGAAAUGUGUCAUGGUCCCUGUGCCUCUCCGGCUCGCUCAUGUUGGCCACAGGUUUGUUUUGUUUUCUCUCCUGCUUGCCUGGGUGGCGCUCAUUGUGGGCUCUCACCCUUGGCCCACGCGUCUGCGGUGAUUACUACACCUGUUGCUGAUCAGGCGGCGUCCCCCUUGCCUAUUUAACGCUGCGGCACGGAGUAGUCGGGCCUGGAUCGUUGAACCUCCCGUGUUCGUGCUCUCGGCUCUUCUUCUAAGAGAAACUCUCGGUGCUGUGUGGCAUAUUGAUCUAAUCGGACUCUUUGUGUUUAGAUCUCCCCGGAACUGGUGGCGGACCCUGACCUGUGAUCCCUGUGUGUGUGUCGACAUAAGUGGAAAUUGGAGGGAGAGUGGCUGUGGAGAAGCGAGUGUGCGUAAGAAGAGGAGUGGCGGAGUUUGGGCUGAGUGGAGAAACACGGUCUGCACUUGAAUCCAUCUGUUAGCCCUGAGAAAAUGUAGAAGAAGAUGAGCUUCUGUGUAGAACUGAAGAAGCUUCUCGGAUGAGAGGUGAAACGUCUUCAAGCAACUUAAAGAAGUCCAGACGCUUUUCUUUCCAAGCUCCUUAGACUAUGAUGACCUGGAUGACUGACAACCUUCACAGACAACUUCACUCAUGGAUACUGAAGUGUUUUCUUAUUGUUUGUAAUAGCUGUGUUCUUCCACAGGGAGGAGCUGUAAAGCACAUUCCCACUGUUUUCCUUGAGGUUUCUGUACCUUUUGGUUUCAUCAGUAGUGAAAGGGAAACACUACAAAACAACUAACAAAAUCCUAAACUGGGGACAGCUAAACAUGAAAUUGGAAACAUAGAACUAAAACAACCUGAAACCUGGAAACACAGUUGGAGAGACUCAGGGGAAGAUGAACAGGAUGAAGAACGAGAUGACACACAGGAGAAAACGCAGACAAUCUGACAGGGAGCAAAGGGAAACACACACUAAAUAUACACAAGCUGGACAAUGAGAGGAUGGGGAACCGGUGGGAACACAGCUCGGAUAAAUCAGACAUGAUGAGGCGGGGAGGAGAGCAAAACUGAAAACACUGACGCAAGACACAGAAUGUCAAAGUAGAACAGGAAAUACAAGACAGACAUGGAGACGCAGACGCAUUGAGAUAUGGAAACAUGAGGCAAGGCAAGGUGAGGCACAGGAACAGAACAGAAACCAGGAACACUAAAUAUAAUACAACAGAAAACCAUAAUUCAAAGAAUAAAACUUAAACCAAAAACACAAAACCCAGGACCGUGACAAAAAGUCUGUGCUGUCAUCCGUGUUUGUCUCCGUGUUUGUCUCUCUCACCAUGUCCCUCUCUCUCUCUCUCUCUCUCCGUGUCCCUCACUCCCUCUCUCUCCACCUCCGUGUCCCUCGUGCUGCCUCUUAGUUGAAACUAUUUGAUGACUGUGUAACAGGUUGUGUGGUUCGUAAUACCAUAGUUAACCAUUUGAUGUAUGCAGAUGAUUUAGUAAUCUUCGCCCCAUAUAGUGCUGGCCUUCAACAAUAAUUGAGGGCCUGCUCUCAAUAUGGUCUCGAGUUUGAUAUUCCCGCUGUAUAAUGCCAAGAAGAGUAAUAUUUUGAUUGCCUGAGGUAAGGAGGACCAAGAUUUAGUUAUUCCCGAAUUCUCUCUGUCAGGCUCCACUCUUAAAGUGUGUAGCCUACUGCAGGUUAAAUAUUCAGAUCACUAUAUAUCUGAUGAUUUGAUAUGGACAUUUUUGAUGUCACCAUCAGAACAGAGGGCGAGUCUACAGUAGCACAAAGUCUAAGGUCACCGUAGACCAGGGGUCGGCAACCUGCGGCUCCGGAUAUAGUCCUAUAGUCCUAGAGUGCGGCUCCGUGUGGUUUGGGAAAAUAAAUUAGAAGUAUUUAGCUGAAGUAUAUUUUAUUUAUGUUAGUUCUUUUUUAACUUGUAGUUCUAAAUUGGAAGAUUAUUGUGAUAUUGAAAUAUAAAUAUAAAAUUAUAUUCUAUUAUUUUUUGAUCCCUCAAAAUAAGCGUCACACUUGCGGAAGCCGAUAUACCCGCCGAAAUGCCGUGCAUUUAUCGAGACUUUCAACCCCAGGUAAGCCAAUUAUGGAUCUUCGGAUCCACAUUAUGUCAGCAGCUAUUCUCCACCGUGAACUAUGUUAAAAACAAACACCGCUCAUGCCUCA